rnacentral:tRNA from 1 species
GGACGCGUAGCUCAGUUGGUUAGAGCGCUUGCUCGACACGCAAGAGGUCGAUGGUUCGACUCCAUUCGUGUCCACCA